rnacentral:rRNA from 1 species
AGUCUGCCUUGAAGAUCGGAGUGCUUGCACUCUGUGAAACAAGAUACAGGCUAGCGGCGGACGGGUGAGUAACACGUGGGUAACCUGCCCAAGAGAUCGGGAUAACACCUGGAAACAGAUGCUAAUACCGGAUAACAACAGAUGAUGCCUAUCAACUGUUUAAAAGAUGGUUCUGCUAUCACUCUUGGAUGGACCUGCGGUGCAUUAGCUAGUUGGUAGGGUAACGGCCUACCAAGGCGAUGAUGCAUAGCCGAGUUGAGAGACUGAUCGGCCACAUUGGGACUGAGACACGGCCCAAACUCCUACGGGAGGCAGCAGUAGGGAAUCUUCCACAAUGGACGCAAGUCUGAUGGAGCAACGCCGCGUGAGUGAAGAAGGGCUUCGGCUCGUAAAGCUCUGUUGUUGGUGAAGAAGGACAGGGGUAGUAACUGACCUUUGUUUGACGGUAAUCAAUUAGAAAGUCACGGCUAACUACGUGCCAGCAGCCGCGGUAAUACGUAGGUGGCAAGCGUUGUCCGGAUUUAUUGGGCGUAAAGCGAGUGCAGGCGGCUCGAUAAGUCUGAUGUGAAAGCCUUCGGCUCAACCGGAGAAUUGCAUCAGAAACUGUCGAGCUUGAGUACAGAAGAGGAGAGUGGAACUCCAUGUGUAGCGGUGAAAUGCGUAGAUAUAUGGAAGAACACCGGUGGCGAAGGCGGCUCUCUGGUCUGUUACUGACGCUGAGGCUCGAAAGCAUGGGUAGCGAACAGGAUUAGAUACCCUGGUAGUCCAUGCCGUANACGAUGAGUGCUAAGUGUUGGGAGGUUUCCGCCUCUCAGUGCUGCAGCUAACGCAUUAAGCACUCCG